CCUACGGGUGGCAGCAGUAGGGAAUCUUCCACAAUGGGCGAAAGCCUGAUGGAGCAACGCCGCGUGGGUGAAGAAGGUCUUCGGAUCUUAAAACCCUGUUGUUAGAGAAGAAAGUGCGUGCGCGUAACUGUUCACGUUUCGACGGUAUCUAACCAGAAAGCCACGGCUAACUACGUGCCAGCAGCCGAGGUAAUACGUAGGUGGCAUGCGUUAUCCGGAUUUAUUGGGCGUAAAGGGAACGCAGGCGGUCUUUUAAGUCUGAUGUGAAAGCCUUCGGCUUAACCGGAGUAGUGCAUUGGAGACUGGGAGACGUGAGUGCAGAAGAGGGAGGUGGAACUCCAUGUGUAGCGGUGAAAUGCGUAGAUAUAUGGAAGAACACCAGUGGCGAAGGCGGCUCUCUGGUCUGUAACUGACGCUGAGGUUCGAAAGCGUGGGUAGCAAACAGGAUUAGAUACCCCUGUAGUC
rnacentral:rRNA from 1 species